rnacentral:tRNA from 1 species
GCCGAAGUGGCGGAAUUGGCAGACGCGCUGCGUUCAGGGCGCAGUGAGCUUAAUGCUCAUGUGGGUUCAAAUCCCACCUUCGGCACCA